rnacentral:tRNA from 1 species
CGGAGCGUAGCGCAGCCUGGUAGCGCAUCACGCUGGGGGUGUGAGGGUCGUGGGUUCGAAUCCCGCCGCUCCGACCA